rnacentral:rRNA from 1 species
AUGGGGAGUUUGUCUGUAAUGCUCCUUGACAAACAGUUUCGGAGUAGCCAGUCAGUCUGCAACUUAAAUAGACCACAACGGAACAAAACAAAACAAAUUGGUUUAUCUUCUCUGGCAGUGGUAGAAUUUUGUUGCUCGUUCGCUGUGAAAUUCUGCUUACUUUUGAUCAGCACUGCCACCUUGCUCAGCCGUAAUUCUACUGAAAGGAAUUUUUGGAAAAAGGUAGGUUCCAGCGAGGGUCCAUUGCUACGUUUGGUCAGCAGGGUCGAUGGGGCUUGCUCUAGCGGAUUUGCUGUACCACAGGUGCUUGUAGUUUCUGAUCUCCAAAAAAGAUUGCAGCACCCGAAAUUUAACCCGGCAAUUGUCUUAAUUAAUCAAUGA